rnacentral:lncRNA from 1 species
CUUGUGUUCUGCAGGUAGCCUGCAUCAUGAGAGGACUCAGGAUAUAGUGGUCAUCUCAUACGUUUAUGCAAAUUUGGAGACUGCUGUCACAGGAAAAAUAAGGCAAAACAAGCAGAGUUUUUCACUGGAUAUCACAGACUUAUAUUGUGUAUAGUCGGGGAGGAGAACUCAGUGAAAAAAAGAUGCCCUUAAAAUUGUAAGAAUUUCCUCUGGUUCUGUCAUAUGGGAAAAGCUAGAUUGGGCUCAGGCUGCUUUUCUGGAAGAAUAGGAGCAGUCUCUGACAAUUUAUGAAUUUGUACAACAUGGCGUAAGAAAACUUUAAAAGGAAUUCAUGUUGAUGCCACUUUUAGAACCACCAAGGCUGCAGAGGAAAACCAUUUGCUGGAAAGAGCACUCCCAGAGCUGGUUCCAAAAUCAUUAAGAGCUUAGAUCAUAGAAUGGCUCUUAAACUCCAUUAUAUGUUUUCCCUCCAUAUGUGUUGCCUAAUUGCUAAUUUCCUGAACCUUUUGAGCUUUCAAGUACCUAGCAAUGGAAAGAUCCAGCAGGAAUUCAGACAGGAGUCCAGCUGAACUUUGACUUCAAAUUGAAAAAAGAGGUUCAAAGGAACUACAGGGUGAUAAACUUCAGUCCCAGGGUAUGUGACGCCAAAACUAAUUAUGAAAGCUAUUCUGAGACACAUGAAGGACAAAAAAGACAUCAAAGACAAGUAAGCAUGAAUUUACCGAGGGUAAGCCCUGCUUGAC